CGGGUCGAACAUCCUCUGUGUUGUCUAGAUUCCGUGAGCCUCCCCAAUAGAACAGUAGAUCAUCCUUACCAAGGUUAGAACGAGACUACGGUUGCAGUCUUCUCUAUACAUCGCUCACAUCGAGUCACAUUCUUUGUAGCCUAAAGGGUAGUAGCAAUAGAUUUGGUUAGUCAGAUGCACGCUUUCUCCCAGUGGUAAAAAUAUGAAUACGAUACUCUGGAUAACCUCCCGGGUGAAGUGCUCACCGAUAUCCGUGCGCUUGCGGAUCAUUUCCUGAUGGCGUUACCAAAUAUCAACAAGCAUUUCUGGCGCCGUUGCCGUGGAGAAAGACGGUUUGCUGAGAUAACUUUAAGUCUUGCUAUUAUCUUGUAUUAUACUUUUAUACUUUUAUUCUUUUAUCUUUUUAUUUUUUUCCAUCUUUAUGGAUAACUCAAAUUCCACACCUAUUAUUGAAUUUUUUGCACCUUCAGAGACCAGCUAUAGACCAUGGGAGUCAACAAGUCCUUUCUUUGCCCCUAAUUAUGAUAUGUGUCUGGAGUUGAUUGCAAUAGGUCAAAACCAACCCUUUUCUAUAGCUGAGGUCCUAUCUUUUAAUCAAGAAGAUAAUGAACUUUUAGCUACACCUAGGGAAUCUGUUAAUCUUUCUAUAAAUUCUGGUUUAAACCUACCCCUACAAGACCAUGUUUUUCUCGAUAUUUUCACAUUGGUCUUAAUCAUAUAACCUUUGGUAGAGUCUUUCUUUCUUUAUCUAUUAGUAAAGGAAGGUAUGUCUUCAUUCGUGGACAUCCUUCUUGCACUAGUCUUCAUAGAAAAAUCCUAGAGAUAGAGAAGGAAUCAUCUCCCAGACAAGGAAAGGAAGUUUCAAUAGCCGAUUUCCAAACAUUUCAAUCCCAUGAUUCGACUAUCCAACCCAUCCUUGAGCUUGAUAAUUUCUACUAUGCUCUUUCUCUUGAACCUCCCGAUGAUCCUAUGAAUCUCUCUAGACAUCCCAUGUAUAAGAGUCACCAAGACCACAAGGAGGAUCGAGAAGAGAAACAUCAAUGGCUAGAGGGCAUUAAAAAUCCAUGUGCUAUUACCAUUGAGUGGAUGGACAAGGAAGAAGCCUUAAUGGAUUCUGACUUUGGCUCAAUUUCAAAUGGUGAGUUCUUAACUCCCUUUGCAGAUGAGAUUCAUCCAACUACAGAAGAGGACAUAGGCGAGACCAAUCUAGGAAAAACUCCGAACAUUUAGAUUGGAGACAAAGAUAACAUUAAUGAGCAUGGAAUUUAUUUCAUAGCCACUUUGUUUACUCCAUGCUCAUAUGCAACACCUUCCCAAUCUAUUGGUCUCUCCAACAUCACCACAUUUGAGAUCUCCAACCCCCUCUUCCUUUUUAAUAAAAACUUUAAAAGGGCGGUUGUCGAUGUAUGUGUCUAUAAUAAAUAUUGCAGAUCUCGUUGAGUUGAUCUUGAUGU
rnacentral:lncRNA from 1 species